GUUGACGGCCAAGGCGGCGGGGAAACACCCGGUCCCAUUCCGAACCCGGCAGUUAAGCCCGCCAGCGUAGGGGCUGUGUACUGAGGUGCGCGAGCCCUCGGGAAGGCUCCGACGCUGUCAACC
rnacentral:rRNA from 1 species